rnacentral:rRNA from 1 species
UACGUAGGGUGCAAGCGUUAUCCGGAAUUAUUGGGCGUAAAGAGCUCGUAGGCGGUUUGUCGCGUCUGCUGUGAAAACUGGAGGCUCAACCUCCAGCCUGCAGUGGGUACGGGCAGACUAGAGUGCGGUAGGGGAGAUUGGAAUUCCUGGUGUAGCGGUGGAAUGCGCAGAUAUCAGGAGGAACACCGAUGGCGAAGGCAGAUCUCUGGGCCAGCACUGACGCUCAUGCACGAAAGCGUGGGGAGCAAACAGG